CAUCGAUUCUUGUUCCAGCUCUAGUGCGUCAUUUUGUUAAUCAAAAUAUUAGAAAAAACGCCCUUUCCGCCUUUAAAGUGCAGCUCGCGAUCGUGCGAAAGUGUUAAUUACCGCGUGAUUCGCCCGACAAUCUAAAGAGCGCAAGACGGCGAUGAAAAACACGCAGAAACACACGGUUUUUUGUUCUUAAAUUUUACUUACGGCAGACACGCACACGAACUCAGCUCACCGACGCACACACACAUACACGCGCACGCUGAGAGAAGACUAGUGGAUGAGAAAGAGAAGAACGUGAGGAGAAGGAGGCGGCAAAAAGCGGAGACCAUCAAACUUAAAAUUUGCGAGAAUUAUUGGCGAGUCUUGACUCAGCGAACGAAUUACACCUGCCCGGCACACAGCACACAGCAUGUUCAGUGGACAUGGGCGGAUUCCUGGAUAAGCCGAAAACCGCCAAGCACAAUGACCAGGGCGAGGGUAACAAGCUGCUCUUCGGAGUCAGCUCGAUGCAGGGCUGGCGGUCGGAGAUGGAGGACGCCUACUACGCUCGUGCCGGGCUGGGGGAUGCCCUGCAGGACUGGAGCUUCUUUGCAGUCUUCGAUGGACACGCAGGAUGCAAGGUUUCGGAGCACUGUGCCAAGCAUCUGCUGGACAGCAUCGUCAGCACCGAGGAGUUUAUUGGGGGCGACCACGUGAAGGGCAUACGCACCGGUUUCCUGCGCAUCGACGAGGUGAUGCGGGACUUGCCGGAGUUCACCCAGGAGUCGGAGAAAUGCGGUGGAACCACCGCUGUCUGCGCCUUCGUCAGCCUCACGCAAGUGUACAUCGCCAAUUGCGGGGAUUCCAGGGCAGUUCUGUGCCGCCAGGGAGUUCCGGUAUUCGCCACGCAGGAUCACAAGCCGAUUUUGCCAGAGGAAAAGGAGCGCAUCCACAAUGCUGGCGGUAGUGUGAUGAUCAAGCGGGUGAAUGGCACCCUGGCCGUUUCAAGAGCUCUCGGGGACUACGACUUUAAGAACGUCAAGGAGAAGGGACAGUGCGAGCAGCUGGUGUCGCCGGAACCGGAGAUAUUCUGUCAGAGUCGACAGGAUAGCGAUGAGUUUCUGGUGCUCGCCUGCGAUGGCAUCUGGGAUGUGAUGACCAACGAGGACGUUUGCAGCUUCAUCCAUUCACGAAUGCGGGUGACCAGCGACCUUGUGAGCAUCGCCAACCAGGUGGUGGACACCUGCCUGCACAAGGGAAGUCGGGAUAAUAUGAGCAUCAUCAUCAUUGCCUUCCCUGGAGCUCCGAAGCCCACCGAGGAGGCGAUAGAGGCUGAACAUCGGUUGGAGAAACAAAUCGAGAAGAUCACAAGAGACGAGAUAGAGUCUAGCGUGAUAACCGACUACGUGGAUCUGUUGAAGUGUCUACAGAACAGAGACGACAUCGAAGGUCUUCCACCCGGUGGCGGUCUGCAGUCCAAAUAUCACGUUAUCGAGCGCACAUUCAAGCAAGAGUUUCCGGAUCGACCAUGUCAACUGUAUGCAUAUGAUGAUAUAUGAAUUUUGUAAUGCUAAUUGUUCAUUUUAAACCAACCAACAACCAAGAAACCAGCAAGAGAACAAAGAUAACUAAACACCCUAAGCUUCAUAUAAUCUAAAUAGUCCAAGGAAUUAGGUUGCAGUCGAAACACUAAACAAAACCAGUUAAACAAAAGCAGCAACCAGAUCAGAUCAGAUCAGAAGCAGAGCCACACAACUUGAACGAAGCAAACAAACAAGAACACACACCAAACAGUUUUCUACUUUGAUAAACACAAAAGAAAAACCUACUAAUAAUGAUAAUAAUAAGAAUUACGAUACAUUUAUAGUUUAUACGAAGCAGUCCUAAACACAAUAAUGCAAAUAGCCACUCCCCACACAACUCUAAGAUAUAGGAGACAUCUACAACAGAGCGUACCUGAGCAGACCUCAGAGAAAUUUAAAUCGGAUCAAAAUGAGAGGAUGGCUAAUAGCCAGCAGCAGCACGACACCCAUCAGAUUAUUCCGAUCAGACCCCUCUGAAGGACCCAGCCAUCUUUGUGAAUGUUAACCCUCUGUGUGCCCUGUCGUUCUGUCACUCCUCAUCAAUCAGCAAUCACCAGUACAACCGUCAGUUGAAACUUCUUAAAAUCCUGAAAACUAUGUAGUUUAAAAAAGAGUUAAACAAAAAAUGAGCGAGAGCCUCUCGCUGAAAUGUUUGUGUACAAGAACUUUUAUUUUUUUCAAAAAACCAUGUAUUAACUAUUGAUUCCGAAACGAAAGCGGACUUUUGUAAGAUGUAAAAUGUUUGUUACCGAAACUUUUUGUUCACCUUUUAUAUAUAUGAGAUGAUGUGUCGCCGAGCCUGAAGCGAAACUUAAUAAUGUAAAGUAAAAAAUGUUAAAACAAAACCAGAAAAAAACGGUAAAAAAAAAACCAAACUAGCAAACAAAAACUGUAACUAUCUAUGUACGGAAACGAGAAAAGUAAUACCUAAACCCUAAAGUAAGCAAAGCAAAACAAAAGCAAAUCCACAAUAAUGUCCGAAUGUCUUAAAGAAACAAGAAUGAAAACUAAGAACUAUUAAUUUAUAAGAAGCAAGUUGAUGAUGAAAAUCUUAAGAAAAGCAAAAUUACGCUCGAGUUUGUAGUAAAUGUUGAUAAAAAAAAAAAAAAAAA